rnacentral:rRNA from 1 species
GACGAACGCUGGCGGCGUGCUUAACACAUGCAAGUCGAACGAAGAGCGAUGGAAGCUUGCUUCUAUCAAUCUUAGUGGCGCACGGGUGAGUAACGCGUAAUCAACCUGCCCUUCAGAGGGGGACAACAGUUGGAAACGACUGCUAAUACCGCAUACGAUCUAAUCUCGGCAUCGAGGAAAGAUGAAAGGUGGCCUCUACAUGUAAGCUAUCACUGAAGGAGGGGAUUGCGUCUGAUUAGCUAGUUGGAGGGGUAACGGCCCACCAAGGCGAUGAUCAGUAGCCGGUCUGAGAGGAUGAACGGCCACAUUGGGACUGAGACACGGCCCAGACUCCUACGGGAGGCAGCAGUGGGGAAUCUUCCGCAAUGGACGAAAGUCUGACGGAGCAACGCCGCGUGAGUGAUGACGGCCUUCGGGUUGUAAAGCUCUGUUAAUCGGGACGAAAGGCCUUCUUGCGAAUAGUGAGAAGGAUUGACGGUACCGGAAUAGAAAGCCACGGCUAACUACGUG